rnacentral:rRNA from 1 species
GACGAACGCUGGCGGCGUGCUUAACACAUGCAAGUCGAACGAUGAUGCCCAGCUUGCUGGGUGGAUUAGUGGCGAACGGGUGAGUAACACGUGAGUAACCUGCCCCUGACCCUGGGAUAAGCGUUGGAAACGACGUCUAAUACUGGAUAUGACUGCCGCCCGCAUGGUCUGGGGGUGGAAAGGUUUUUUGGUUGGGGAUGGACCCGCGGCCUAGCAGCUUGGUGGUGAGGUAAUGGCGCACCAAGGCGACGGCGGGUAGCCGGCCUGAGAGGGUGACCGGCCACACUGGGACUGAGACACGGCCCAGACUCCUACGGGAGGCAGCAGUGGGGAAUAUUGCACAAUGGGCGAAAGCCUGAUGCAGCAACGCCGCGUGAGGGAUGACGGCCUUCGGGUUGUAAACCUCUUUUAGUAGGGAAGAAGCGAAAGUGGCGGUACCUGCAGAAAAAGCACCGGCUAACUACGUGCCAGCAGCCGCCGUAA